UUGAUAGUUCAAGCUCAAGCCCAAACUGUAAACAAUGGCAGAAAACAGACAACUAAUUCAGAGCUAAAAAACGAAACAUGCCCCACAAUUGCCCACGUCAAAGAGAAGAAUUAAGAAGACUGGCGAAGAAAAGCAGUGCAGAAAGAAGCAAUUGGACCGACCCUGAAAGAAAAGUAGGAUAAAUAUCCAAGCACCAUUUCAGAGGCGGAGGAGCUGCAGGAUUUGUAAGGACUCAAGAGCGACAAGGAGAUGGCUGCUUUUCGGCUGGACAAGAGUCUGUGUGCUCCCUCUCCCUGUCUUUGGCCUUGUUCUCCUUGUCCCUCUGAGGCUCUCCAGAGGCCGGGGGCAGGUGGUUCCUGUGGUGCUCUGGAGGUCGGCUGUGGCCAAGGAGGCUGAUGGGGUUGACGGGGACUGGGGAUGGAUGGCUUGAAUGACGCUUUUCUACAGAAUCUCUGGAAGAAAAAAGGAGGGAAGUCCUUUCAUCAGUACCCAGUCUCGGUCCCUCUCGUGCGAGCUGGCCGAGGUGCUCCUCUCAGACUCUCCAGGUUUCAGCCAGGGUGGCGGCGUGGGGAAGGAAGGCGGUGUACGGUGCAGACGGUUCCAUGGCUCCUGGUGGCCGCCAUUACCGCCACUGUUGAAGUGCUGCUGUGCGUUGGGGCCAUCUUUAUGACCAAACACUGAGUUGGCCGCUGCUAGGGAUUCAACACGCGGAAAAACACGCAACAAUUGCAUCAUUCAUGAAGUUAAAACUCACUUAGUGCUGGAUUUCCCAGUCCCCCGAAUGCCGAUGAACUGAGGGAUCCCAGUCCUCCAAAUGAUGUGGGCCGACUGAAAGGUUCUGGAAGGAGGGACACAACACAUUACCUUGUAUUCACUUGCAUCCUUAUAUUCCUGUUUCUGAUCGGAAACUGAGGAGAAGUUAACUGAAGGACCCUCUUACCUAAGUGAGAUGCUGGGGGUACUGUGGUUAACCAUCAAUCAAUCUUGCUGCCUGGAGAUCUGACACACACUCACCUGCAGCGGAGAAGAGUGUGGAGGGCCGUGCCAAGUCGCUGGGGUGAUGGAUUGCGCCAAAGAGGCUGGGGCCCGGAGGUCGACUCAGGAACUCCGGCUUGAGGCCAAAGUCCAACUUGUGAGGGUCGACCUGCAUCUGCUGCUGGAAGACGCCAUACCAACAGAGAGAAACACAUGUGCUUCUAAAGUUGCAGUGUGAUAGACAAGCCUAUCAUGCUGCAACUGUGCACAUGUUCACUGCCCAUGCUGGGCAGUGAACAUGUGCACACUCUGUGUUAAUUCUUCGGCACAAAGCAGAGAGAGGAGUCAGAUGAGUCCUCACCUUUACUUUCUGUUGGUGAUGGUAUAUCUGCCAGGCAAUAUGGACAUGCAUGGCGCACCACUUCCCUGGUUUCUGUAGGAACAGGACAAAAACAUGGUGUCACAACUUAACUCUUUAACAAUAAUGACAAUAAAGUUAUUACUGCUACUG